rnacentral:tRNA from 1 species
AGUCUUAUAUUCAACUAUGAUUUUAAAUUGCAAAUUUAAAGGUAGAUUUUUAAAUUAAAUCUUAAGGCUU